rnacentral:rRNA from 1 species
GAUGAACGCUGGCGGCGUGCCUAAUACAUGCAAGUCGAGCGAACGGACGAGCAUCUUGCUUCUCUGAUGUUAGCGGCGGACGGGUGAGUAACACGUGGAUAACCUACCUAUAAGACUGGGAUAACUUCGGGAAACCGGAGCUAAUACCGGAUAAUAUUUUGAACCGCAUGGUUCAAAAGUGAAAGACGGUCUUGCUGUCACUUAUAGAUGGAUCCGCGCUGCAUUAGCUAGUUGGUAAGGUAACGGCUUACCAAGGCAACGAUGCAUAGCCGACCUGAGAGGGUGACCGGCCACACUGGAACUGAGACACGGCCCAGACUCCUACGGGAGGCAGCAGUGGGGAAUCUUCCGCAAUGGGCGAAAGCCUGACGGAGCAACGCCGCGUGAGUGAUGAAGGUCUUCGGAUCGUAAAACUCUGUUAUUAGGGAAGAACAGAUCUGUAAGUAACUGUGGACACCAUGACGGUACCUAAUCAGAAAGCCACGGCUAACUACGUG